AACUGCGAGUGAAGCGGGAAAAGCUCAAAUUUAAAAUCUGGNGGUCUUUGGCCGUCCGAGUUGUAGUCUGGAGAAGUGCUUUCCGCGCUGGACCGUGUACAAGUCUCUUGGAACAGAGCGUCAUAGAGGGUGAGAAUCCCGUCUUUGACACGGACUACCAGUGCUUUGUGAUGCGCUCUCAAAGAGUCGAGUUGUUUGGGAAUGCAGCUCAAAAUGGGUGGUGAAUUCCAUCUAAAGCUAAAUAUUGGCGAGAGACCGAUAGCGAACAAGUACCGUGAGGGAAAGAUGAAAAGCACUUUGGAAAGAGAGUUAAACAGUACGUGAAAUUGCUGAAAGGGAAACGNUUGAAGUCAGUCACGUUGGCCAGAACUCAGCCUUGCUUUUUUGCUUGGUGCACUUUCUGGUUUGACGGGUCAGCAUCAGUUUUGAUCGUCGGAAAAAGGCUGGAGGAAUGUGGCACCUUCGGGUGUGUUAUAGCCUCCAGUCACAUACGACGGUUGGGACUGAGGAUCUCAGCACGCCUUUAUGGCCGGGGUUCGCCCACGUUCGUGCUUAGGAUGCUGGCAUAAUGGCUUUAAGCGACCCGUCUUGAAACACGGACCAAGGAGUCUAACAUACCUGCGAGUGUUUGGGUGGAAAACCCGAGCGCGUAAUGAAAGUGAAAGUUGAGAUCCCUGUCGUGGGGAGCAUCGACGCCCGGACCUGACGUUCUCUGACGGCUCCGCGGUAGAGCAUGUAUGCUGGGACCCGAAAGAUGGUGAACUAUGCCUGAAUAGGGUGAAGCCAGAGGAAAC
rnacentral:rRNA from 1 species